rnacentral:lncRNA from 1 species
CAUAUGUUUGUUUGCUGGUGUUCAAUGGAACCUGAGGGAGGGCAUAAUGGAUCUCCGUUACUAAACCAUGUGGAAGGCUUCCAGAGAUUUAAUAGUCUACCUCGAGCUGUCUACGGAGGGAAGACAUUUCCCAUAAUUGUUAAUCUUCCAACAGCAAGUGUGGAAGUCCUAGACUUUCAACAAAGGAAACCAUUGCUAUAGGACUACAUCCCUUAUAAAAGGGCAUGUCUUCCAUCCACUCUGGUAUAUAUCCAACCCAAAGGACUUCCUUCUUGGAUUCUGGUGUUUGUUCUCUGUCCCCACUGUGCCCAUGGAAGUGUCUCACUUUGGUCUCCAUCAUCAUGUCUGCUGUGCAUUCUCUGGACUUAGAGAAGGGAGAAAGAGCGGCAGAGUAUCAGAGGUAAAGAGAAUGCAAGGGAAUCAAAACACCUGGACUUAGGCUUCA